rnacentral:rRNA from 1 species
UACGUAGGGUGCAAGCGUUGUCCGGAAUUAUUGGGCGUAAAGAGCUUGUAGGCGGUCUGUCGCGUCUGCUGUGAAAAUCCGGGGCUCAACCCCGGACUUGCAGUGGGUACGGGCAGACUAGAGUGUGGUAGGGGAGACUGGAAUUCCUGGUGUAGCGGUGAAAUGCGCAGAUAUCAGGAAGAACACCCGUGGCGAAAGCGGCUCUCUGGGACGGUACUGACGCUGAGACGCGAAAGCGUGGGGAGCGAACAGG